UUGCGGCCAUAUCAUGUUGAAACACCUGUUCCCGUACGAUCACUGGAGUUUAGCGACAUCGAGCCUGGUUAGUACCUAGACGGGUGACAGCUCGGGAAUACCAGGUGCUC